UGGCACGCGUGCCAUAGGUUCGCCAUCACUGUUCUAAUGAAUGGAGCUGCUAAAAGUUGUGAUACAUCUUGGGGUGUGUGUAAACUUCCUAUGUGCUAAUGUUCAAAUUAAAAGAAUUUCCAGAAAUUGUAAACUUAGGACACACUAUCACUAGAGUAUAUGCUAUAUCAAUGGCACCUGAUACCUUACAGCACCAGGGCACCACCUUUAAAAAAUAAACAAUAGCCUGAACCAUUAGUUCAAGAUACAGAAAAUGCUUGAAAUUUUGUUAUAAUCAAAUCAUCAGUGCAUUUUUAGCACUACUUAAAAAUACAGAUCAGAUUUCUCUUGGCACUACUGCUGUAAUGGCAUAUCAGUAUAGGAUGCCUAAUGCUGAACCUAUGUAAAAGUGAUGAACAGAAGUAGAAAUGCCAUGUAUACGGAAUGCAUUUGAGGGCAUAAAGUAAAUGUAUCAGAAAAACAGGCAACAUGCAAAUUAAUUAAAAGUACAAGAACAGAUCUAGGAAUGACUUUUUAAAUAUACAUAUAAUUACAAACUUAACAAAGGCAGUUUUAUAGGUCAUAGGCUAGUGUGAAUUUACUAAAGAAAAAAUAUGGGGGUUGUGAAAAAAACAAAAUAGGGACCACAAGACUAUUAAGUAUUUUUUGUACAUAACAAGUGCACUGUGCCAAAUAUGCAUCCUAUUGAAAAGUUAAGUAAUCAAGUCAUAUCUACAAGUUUGCAGAGUUUAUUCAAAUCAUAUAGUUUUUAUUUAAAACAUCUA